UUGCUAUGCACCUGUGUCUUUCACCUGUUAAUCACCAAGCAGUUUCUGGUGGGGCUAUUGUCUCGCUCCCUUGAGGAAACAGGUUGCAGAGACCCACAGGCUACCGCAAUUAAGAGAGAUCCCUGCGGACCCAAAACUUGCAGGAUGGAGCCAUUUCUCAGCCACUGAGCAGGAGUCUCCUCCACAGCUGCUCACGUGUUCUGGAGGCCCCACCCCUCAGCCUGGCAGCCAAUGGAGGCCUCGGUUUUCUGCAGGGAACUUUUAGCGUGUGAAUGUGAAGGCCUGUCGCUGAGAAAGAACAGCGCCUGAUGGUGAUGAUGAUGAUUGUCAUGAGCGAAAGUACAGUAAGGAGCAUGUCUGGGCGCCUGAUGUGCAGCUACAAGCCAGGCACAUGAUGAGAGCAGAGAUGCAGACAGGAGUCAAGCUGAAGGAAAGCACGUCACUGCAGUGUGUGGGCGGGUAGUGAGCUGGCUCCGACCUUCGAUACACCCUGUCAGCAGAAGGCGUCACUCUUCACAGAGGUUAAGUGUUUUCAGAAAGCCGGGUGCCCAGAGAAAGACAUGGCAUCCUGCCCAAGAAAAAAAAAAUGUAGCCACAUGUAUGUCCAUUUACUUUAGAGCUCUAAAGGCAUCUUCAGGGCACCGUUACUUGAAAUUGACUAUGAAGAAAAUGUCCGCCGUGCAGCACUAUUGUGUGAAAUGUCGGCUUCUGAGCACCCAGCAGGCAUUCCUUCUCCUGGCAAAAAUUCUCUACCUUCCUGAUCUGAAAACUCACUCUUCCCCGUAGGUCUGUAGGAGCUCCCAGUGAUAAUCCUGAUUGGCUUAUCUGCUUGAGCAGGCUCCAUUAUCUCAAGAAAAUCAGAGUGUGGUCUCCUAGUGCAUCCUGUGAGAAAGCUGGUGUGUCAGGUGACUCUACCGCCCUCUUCCAGUACUAGUCAUUCCAUGUAAAUAACUUGGUAAUUGACAUUCAUUUGGACCUACCUUCCUUAUUGACAGAACAGUGCAAAAUCUUCCUAGACGUAUUUCCUCCUAGUGAUAUAAACAGAAAGUAAGAUAGAUGCAUCCAUCAGGUGUGCUGUGCCAUUGGGAAGGAUAUAACUUUGCAUCUCAGACUAGUUGGAUAAGAGGUGUGCCUCCUUGCUUGGGUGAAUUUUUCUAAAUACUGUGUGGAUAUAAUACAGUCUGUUUUUUUGUUUUUUCUCUGCCAUUCUCGCUGCAGUGCAGUGACACCUGUAACAAGGGAUUUGUGUUCUCAUCCAAUCAGUGGAGCUAAUUAAGUAAUAAAGGGCCAGGUCAAAUGGUCACCGCGGCUCUAAGGCUACUAUAAUCAUGUGAAUGUGUGAGGAGGUUUGUGUGUCCUUUCAGACAGAGCAGAGAGAGGCUUCAGGCAUACAUGUAUCCAGCCCAGCUCACACAUUCAAAAACACGAUGUUGCAGCAUUACAUUUGCACUGUGAUCCCCAAAAUGGUGGAACGGUUUACAUAUAAAACAGACUGUAGUUCCUACACGGAUCACCCAAUAUAGAUGUAAACAACCUCAAAUUAAUGCUGACAGUCUGUCAGUACUUAAGCCUCAUGUUCAUUGUUUCAUUUCAAAUCAAAAUGUGCUGGAGUGCAGAGGAAAAAAACAACAAAAAUUGUGUCGCUGUCCAAAUACUUACGGGCUGCAUAUCACCUUUCCCUGUUGGUUCCUGCUUUUUAUGUUCAACCUUUGUUUUAUGUGCUCUGUCGUAUAUUAUGCUUUGUAGCCUCAGAGGGAAUACGUGCUCGUAGCUCACGUCUCUGACUGCAGGGAGGAAGAGCGACAAGCAGAGCACCGUAAGACCGUGUCACCCUGCCCAUCGAGAGCAUGCUGACAUAGACUGCAGUGGCACACACCCUCUGCAUACUGAUGAGGGACUCCUGCUCGGGGCAGAGCGGAGAGCCCUUUCGCAUGAAGGGAGAAGGCCCCCCUUCCCUCAGAAUCCACCCUGUCUGCGUGUGAAAAUAAUGACUUCAAAAUACACCUGAUUAUCUACCAGAUGAUAGAUUAUCCGUCAGAAUCCGCACCGUUUGUAUAUGAACAAAUUUAGGUGCGCUGCAGGCUGGGGCAAUCAGUGGACUGAAUAAGGGAUUGGAAAAAUGUAACCAGUUAUGGGAGAGGAUGUAUCGGUGUCUUUGUUUUUCCUCCUGAGGAAUUAACCUUGGGACAAGCCUCGUGGCCGCAGAUGGUUUCUUACACAAGUUGUGUGAUGAGGUGCAAUUCAAAAUGUCAUUUCUGAACCUGUGACACUGCUUUGUUCUCACUGAGCUUGCGUCUGGUUAUCCUUAUAUAUGACUUCUCAGCCUUUGUUUCAAUGUAGACCAGCUAUUUGCAGUUUAAACACAGCUGAAUAAAAAGCUGAAUAUA